rnacentral:rRNA from 1 species
UACGUAGGGUGCAAGCGUUAAUCGGAAUUACUGGGCGUAAAGCGUGCGCAGGCGGUCUUGCAAGUCAGAUGUGAAAUCCCCGGGCUUAACCUGGGAACUGCAUUUGUGACUGCAAGGCUGGAGUGCGGCAGAGGGGGAUGGAAUUCCGCGUGUAGCAGUGAAAUGCGUAGAUAUGCGGAGGAACACCGAUGGCGAAGGCAAUCCCCUGGGCCUGCACUGACGCUCAUGCACGAAAGCGUGGGGAGCAAACAGG